GGAGGGAGCUAGCGUUGUUCGGAAUUACUGGGCGUAAAGCGCACGUAGGCGGCUAUUCAAGUCAGAGGUGAAAGCCCGGGGCUCAACCCCGGAACUGCCUUUGAAACUAGAUAGCUUGAAUCCAGGAGAGGUGAGUGGAAUUCCGAGUGUAGAGGUGAAAUUCGUAGAUAUUCGGAAGAACACCAGUGGCGAAGGCGGCUCACUGGGCUGGUAUUGACGCUGAGGUGCGAAAGCGUGGGGAGCAAACAGGGAUUAGAUACCCUGGUAGUCCACGCCGUAAACGAUGAUAACUAGCUGUCAGGGCACAUGGUGUUUUGGUGGCGCAGCUAACGCAUUAAGUUAUCCGCCUGGGAGUACGGUCGCAAGAUUA
rnacentral:rRNA from 1 species